AUCAAAUUACAAAAACGUAGGAAGAAACCAUCGGAUGUUACACACACGCUUGCGGUUAGUUCAUUAUUGCGGUUAGUGGAUUUGUCUCGAUAAUAGGUGGCCUCGCCGAUACUACAGUAUGCAAUUCAAAAGAAUUAGACGAUAAAUAAUUAACCAAGAAACAGUGGCUGAGAUAUGAAGGCAUAUAAUUAGCGCUAAUUGCUGCGUCUGAUAUUUAACUUCCUUGACGUCUUCCAUGGGCCGUGAAAUCCAGACGAGUUCCUGUGCAGGUUCAUUAAGGUCAUAUAUGUGUGGUUAUCGUAUCGAUAUCAAUUCCUUAUGAGUCAACGUAGCGGAGAAACGGCGGAAAGGGACGCACGAUGUUAACUUGUAAUAAGUGCUGGGAGGAUUGCCUUCACCGUUACUGCUUUGCUGAUAGAGGCUACUUGUUGAUAGCUACACGGUACUGAAUAAUGAGAGGAAGUUGUAGUUGCUUAGCAAUGGCAUGGUUUUUAAUCUACCAGCUGAAAUUUGCAUCCAGGGAAAGGUAAAAAAAAGCAAAGAUAGAGGUGGACUCAACACGAUUAUGGUUCAAAGAAGUACACAGGGUGUGAGUUAUGGUUAAAAAUAACGUACAGUUUAUAGAAACAGAAGCUGUUCAAUGUCGCAAUUAUUUAAAGCUGAUUUUUCGUACAUAGGUAAAGACUGUCGACUGUGCUUUUUAUCUGUUAUGAUUUUCUCGUAAGUUCAGGCUUUUUUAAAAAGUUCCUCUUACUUUCAAGUUGUUUGCUGGGAGUAAAAUUAUGUGGAUGAUCCCUAUUUUCAUUUUCGCAUAUUUAGAGAAAAACAUAAGCGUCUGUGGGCUAUUUGAGUUGGUGUGGGAUGAACAAGUUUUAUUGUUUUGUGAGAAUUUUUUUCCACGUUUAGACACCUAAAAGAUUUGUGUGGUGUCACAGGUCCCCCAAGCUAAUAUGUUGUAUUUUACGUGUCUCAUUCACUGUAAAUAUAUAGUGCGUUCCAAAAAAAAAUUUGAAUUCAAACUUCACAAGGAUUUAAAUAACAACUCCACAAACUGGUUAGAAAAGUUUGAAGGUAUUUUAUUACAUUUUUCGUCCCAAUUGUUUUUUAUUGUAACGCACCAUAUUUUUACAGUGAAUAAGACAAGUAAAAUACAACAUAUUAGCUUGGGGGACCUGUGGUGGUGGUGUGUUUUCAUCCUGUUUUUCUCCAGUAAUAAAUAUGUAGAAAGCUUUGACUUGGAGCUAGAAAGUUUUUUCAUGAAAAUUAGCAGAUACCUUAAGAAGAAUGCGUCUCAGAACAGGUUCGGAACACAAUACAAUCCAUUUAUAUACAACACAAUAAAAUCCAUUUAUAUACAACUAAACCCUGCUAACGUACUUCGAUGAUGAGGAGAUUCUCGCAGUACUUGGGCCUGAUUUGUACUCAUUUUUACCAGAAUAAAAAACCCGGAUAUA